GGCUUUUUGUCUAACAUAAAAGGUCGUGCCUUCCCGGUGGGCAUAUGGGCCUAAACGGACGCGGUAAAUCGUGCUAAGGUAGCUAAAUUAUGGCCCAUUAAUUGUGGGUCCUGUGAAUGGUUUGACGAGUCCUCGGCUGUCUCAAGGUUGUUUUGGUGAACUUGAAUUGAAUGUGCAAAUGCUUUCAUAGGUAAGAAAGACGAGAAGACCCCGUGAAGUUAGAAAUUCUUGCCAUAGCGAAAAUUCUUAUUUGAAAUGGUUUUAGCCCAGAGUGUGGGUUUAUAGGCUUGGUUGGGGAGUGUGGUUCUUGUGUUUUGGCUGGGGCAGCAAAGAGGCAAGUCUAGACCUCUUUUGAUUUUAAACGGGUGCGUUACGACCCAUUAGUUUUAAAGGUGUGAUUAGCAGAAGUAGUUACUCCGGGGAUAACAGCGUUAUCCGCCCCGAUAGCUCUUAUAGACGGGCGGGUUUGCGACCUCGAUGUUGGCUCUGGUUAUCCUGAGGCUUGUAGGAGGUCUCAAGGGUUGGUUCGUUCGCCCAUUAAAAUCCG
rnacentral:rRNA from 1 species